CCCGCCCCCCUGCGACCCGCCCUUCGCCCACCUGCCGGGUCGGGCGCGCGGGGUACUGCUCAGAGACGUCACCUUGAUUAAGCCUGCUCUUUCUCCCAGUCUUUUGUCGUCUUAGGGUGUGCGAAGAGUAAGGGUUCUUCAGUCAUACCCAAGUGAGGAACCAGUCCUGAACGACCGAGGCCAGCAGGAGGACCCACGGAGAACGGCUACUCGGCAGCGCCGAGAACCCGAGCGGCUUCCUGGCGCAGGCGCGACCCUCCCAUUUGGCGGUUGGACUUCCUCCAAGGCGAGACGGGCGGAGGGAGGCUGCGCAUGCGCGGGCCGCCGCGGCGGGCUACGCGUGCGCACCUCGCGGUGGUUCACCGGUUGCUUGGUUACGGCCGCUCGCGGCUCCGGGUUCCAGUUCUGACCGCGAAAUUCGUUUCCAUCUACGCCAGAAAUGGAGAUCCUAACCUAUGUCAACACAGAGAGGAGGUGAUGGAGCUCAGCCCUGCACCCCACACUGCCUUUGGUCCACUUCUUCCUGCUGGUCACGGUGCUCUGCAGUCACUUUGUCCCAACAAACCACUCCACAGAGAGAGAUGGCACUGUUGACCCCCUGACGGGAAAGCAGGGGCAAAGGUGCUAGGGCCCGUCCCUCCCCCCCUCCUGCUAAGCCUCUUGAGUGGAGGCCGUCCGGUUCUUGGCCAUUUGUGGCCUGGUGUAGAGGAGAGGGUUCUGGCCUGCAGUCGUCGGUGGAGCCGGGGCUCUGAGUCGCCCUCUGCUUCAAGGCCCAGCCUGCUACCUAGACGCUGUGUGCCUUUUGUCAGCUUCCUCGCCCUCCCUGACCAUCACGUCCUCGGCAACCCGGAGUCCAGGCAGGGUGGGCACCUGCACGAUUUGGGGACCCAGAGGAGGUGCUGUUGAUGCUUUUACCAGAACAGCAGACGUGAACCAGACUGUCCUGGGACUGACUCUGGCCACAGAACAAGCAGGGGCCCGCGCUGUGGGGGCACCCAGGCCAGGACAGCGGUCGCUGCUCCCAAGUGAGUGUCCCUCCCUUCGCCUGCAGUGGCCCUCAUUCUCUCCUUCCUCCUUAUCCUCCCAGGCUCCCAGAGGCUGGGUACACAUGCCACCACCGCCUUGAAGCCCUCCAAUGGGGGCUUGCUCUUUGCGGGGGACAAAGGUUGUUAGUUCCUCAUGCAAAGUGCUGUGCCCGGAGCUGUAGUCACGUGACCCCAAGCACACAGGACACAGGGCUGCAGACUUGCCAGGACAACAGGAAGAGGCCGUGCCAGAGGACCCGGCUGUCCUUCCUAUCAUGACAGCACUCUGUCACACUGCGUUCUCAGGGUCACCGCAGUCAGCCUCUCCCAGUAGCCUGCAUGGCCCCAGGAGGACUGGCCCUGACCGAGCACCUGGCGGGGGCCGAUCUGAGCUGAAAUGGGACCUCAGUACAUACACGUCAGAGGCCAGAGUGCCAACGAGGUAAAAUAGCCCACUGACAGCUCCUUAUCACGAGUCGAAAUGAUAAUAUUUUGGAUACACUGAGUUACAUAUACUGUUAAAACAUUUAA